rnacentral:rRNA from 1 species
GCGUAACACGUAUGUAACCUACCUUGUUCAGGGGGAUAGCCUCUCGAAAGAGAGAUUAAGACCGCAUAACAUUAUUGAAUGGCAUCGUUUAAUAAUCAAAUAUUUAUAGGAACAAGAUGGGCAUGCGGAACAUUAGCUAGUUGGUAAGGUAACGGCUUACCAAGGCUACGAUGUUUAGGGGAUCUGAGAGGAUGACCCCCCACACUGGUACUGAGACACGGACCAGACUCCUACGGGAGGCAGCAGUAAGGAAUAUUGGUCAAUGGACGAAAGUCUGAACCAGCCAUGCCGCGUGCAGGAAGACGGCCCUACGGGUUGUAAACUGCUUUUGUACCGGAAUAAACCUUGAUUCGUGAAUCAAGCUGAAUGUACGGUAAGAAUAAGGAUCGGCUAACUCCGUGCCAGCAGCCGCGGUAAUACGGAGGAUCCAAGCGUUAUCCGGAUUUAUUGGGUUUAAAGGGUGCGUAGGUGGUUCUUUAAGUCAGGGGUGAAAGACGGCAGCUUAACUGUCGCAGUGCCUUUGAUACUGAAGAACUUGAAUACACUAGAGGUAGGCGGAAUGUGACAAGUAGCGGUGAAAUGCAUAGAUAUGUCACAGAACACCAAUUGCGAAGGCAGCUUACUAUGGUGUCAUUGACACUGAGGCACGAAAGCGUGGGGAUCAAACAGGAUUAGAUACCCUGGUAGUCCACGCCCUAAACGAUGAAUACUCGAUGUUGGCGAUAUACGGUCAGCGUCUAAGCGAAAGCGUUAAGUAUUCCACCUGGGGAGUACGCCCGCAAGGGUGAAACUCAAAGGAAUUGACGGGGGCCCGCACAAGCGGAGGAGCAUGUGGUUUAAUUCGAUGAUA